UACGGAGGAUGCAAGCGUUAUCCGGAUUUAUUGGGCGUAAAGAGCUCGUAGGCGGUUUGUCGCGUCUGCUGUGAAAACUCGGGGCUUAACCCCGGGCCUGCAGUGGGUACGGGCAGACUAGAGUGCGGUAGGGGAGACUGGAAUUCCUGGUGUAGCGGUGAAAUGCGCAGAUAUCGGGAAGAACACCGAUGGCGAAAGCACUCUGCUGGGCCGAAACUGACACUGAGAGACGAAAGCUAGGGGAGCGAAUGGG
rnacentral:rRNA from 1 species